GUGCUCGCUUCAGUAGCACAUAUACUAAAAUUGCAACGAUAUACAGAAGAUUAACAUGGCCCCUGCAUAAGGAUGACAUACAAAUCCGUGAAGUGUUCCAUAUCUAC
ensembl:snRNA U6 U6 spliceosomal RNA